rnacentral:rRNA from 1 species
UACGUAGGUGGCAAGCGUUAUCCGGAAUUAUUGGGCGUAAAGAGAGAGCAGGCGGUUAUUUAAGUCUGAAGUGAAAAGCAGUGGCUCAACCAUUGUAGGCUUUGGAAACUGGAUAGCUAGAGUGCAAGAGAGGUUAGCGGAACUCCAUGUGUAGCGGUGAAAUGCGUAGAUAUAUGGAAGAACACCAGUGGCGAAGGCGGCUAACUAGCUUGAAACUGACGCUCAGUCUCGAAAGCGUGGGUAGCAAA